CGUAACGUCUGUCAGAAGAUAGGUGCUACUUUGUUGAACAAUGAGAAUUCUGAAAAGUGUACUCUUAAAAAAAAAAAUUCCCCCAGGAGGCGUUUGCUCCAAGAAGUGCGUAUGAUUACCAGCUGUGGUUUCAGGGAGUUGAUUUUUCUUCCUGAAAAGGGGAGCUGCGAUGUCCGUGGUACAUCGGCUGACAGCGGGGUGGCUCGUGGAUCAUCUCUCUUUCAUCAACCAGUGUGGCUAUGAGGUCUGUGACUCCUGUGCGUACCCUGGUGGUGUCACUCUCAAUACUUCUGUCGCGUGUGUUGGAGGCUGUUGUGCUACUUCUACCUUUGCAGCCACCUCCCCAUCAAGAGAUGGUCCUAUUCCCGGUCCUGCAAAUUUGAUAGAAACAGAAGGUGAAACAUCAAAAAAGAGAUACGUGUUUCGGAAGGAGUUCUUUGAUGUUUCUAAGCCCCAUAUAGCUGCAGCUCCUGAGGAGCAGCUAUGGCAGGGAUGCCCUGAGGUGGGUCUCACAAAAGUAAAGGCCAACAGCAACACAGAGGAACACCCUGAAGGAACCAAGAGUCAUGUCGGAGAAUCUGUUGCCAGUGCUAGGAAGAAACGUAAAAGGAAAUGUGUAUUCAACCAAGGUGAACUGGAUGCUUUAGAAUACCAUUCAAAGGUCAGGAAGCUCAUUUGGGAAGGCACUUUGCAUUUAGUCCAAGAAGGACUCAAAAGUGGUUUUCUUCACUGCACUGCUGCAGAACUCAGUUGCAGGAAGAAUGUUGUUCCCGGACACAUUGGCUGUGACUUGGCUGAAUUAUGUGAAAUGGCGAAGCAGCUUCCAGCUGUGAAUGAAAGCGACCAUCAAGCUGUACAUCUGCUAGAUGAUGAAACCUCUAUGUCAGAGCAGGACCUGCUCUCGUGUGUUACAGAAAACAGCUCAAACAGUGCAAAGAUAGUUGUGUUAAUGGGGCAGAAGUACUUGGUGCCACCAAAAAGCAGUUUCCUUUUAUCUGAUAUUUCAUGUUUACAGCCCCUGCUGAACUACAAGAAAAAAUAUGAUGUAAUUGUGAUUGAUCCACCAUGGGAGAACAAGUCUGUUAAAAGAAGUAACAGAUACAGCUACUUGUCUUCAUGGCAAAUCAAGCAGAUUCCUGUACCGGCACUAGCUGCUCCAGAUUGUCUUGUAGUCAUCUGGGUGACUAAUAGACAGAAACACUUACGUUUUGUUAAGGAUGAACUUUAUCCUCAUUGGUCUGUGAAGACACUUGCUGAGUGGCACUGGGUAAAAAUUACUAGAGCUGGAGAAUUUGUAUUGCCUUUGGAUUCUUUACACAAAAAGCCCUAUGAAGUUCUUGUAUUGGGGAGAGUACAAGGAGAAGUAAAGGAAGCCUUAAGGAAACCUGAAGAUGUACUUCCAAUUCCAGAACAUAAGUUAAUUGUCAGCAUACCCUGCAGUCUGCAUUCGCAUAAACCCCCUCUUACUGCGGUUCUGGCAGAGUUUAUCAAGCCAGAUGUGGAAUGCUUGGAGUUGUUUGCUCGCAACCUGCAGCCUGGCUGGACCAGCUGGGGAAACGAGGUUUUGAAGUUUCAGCACAUUGAUUACUUCACUCUUCUGCAGAAUGAAAACUGAGUUGGGUCUUGUAGCUUAAUUCUGAAAUGCCGCGCCUUCCCAGCAGGCUCUCGAACUUGCCUUUAUUACUGAUGGGACACUCAGAAGAUAACAGAAACAAACCCAAUUUGGUUGAAGUGGCAGGACAUCCGUUUAAUGGUAUCUCCAUUUGUACAAGCUCGUCCUUUGUUUUGAUGAUCUUGAGAUACGUUAGAGUAUGCCCUCUCUUGUGUCAAGCCCUGUAUAAAGAAGGAACCGUGCUCUGAAGAGUUUACAAACUUGGUGAGAAAUGACAGAACAAGGGAGAAGAUAAGGAUGGAGGAAUACAGGAUAGUAAUGAGAUGUUGAGGUGAAUGUGGUAAGUAGCAGCCUAGGUAUUAUGGCACAUCUUCAGUGUUUCUAAGAAACAAUAGUUUUUUUCCUCCAAUUUUAGAAGAGAUUUUCUGCUUUUCUAUUUUGGUAUGUUAAAAUUCACACAUUCCAAGGACAAAUAGGUGAAGUGUGUAUUUUACUCACAACGUUGACAAAAGAGAAGUUUUUUUCAGUUCUAAAUUCUUUUUCUGGCAGUUCGGUGAAGUGAGAACUGUGCUCAGGAAUUUUCAGAAGGUACUUUAUUUGGUACACCUGCUGUUGUUUUAGCAGGACAAUGAUAAAAAAGUGCUUUGGCUAGGUGUUCUGCACUACUUAAGGCCCCUUAAAAGUAUGUCUUGUUGCAAAAAAGAAACACUCGGUUCAUAAAGCAAUAAGAAGUAAUUUUAAGCUAUUCCUAUAUGUAGAGUACAUCAAGUGUCAUAAUCAAACUUAGUUUUAUGAAGCUUCAGGUUUGACUAUGAUUUUGAAAUGUCAAAUUAGCAUAUGACCUUUACUUGUAUUUUUAAACUUUUAUAAAGUAAAAAGAAUUACACCAGUAAGAUAUGUUUUUGGAAUAGCGAUUGCUAGGCGUGAACUCCUGUGGAGACAGGAAAGUUUCUUUUGCAAGAUUAAGCGUUAUUUAGAAAGUGAAGUGAGCAGCUCUUACCUCUUCAUAGGAUUCAGCUCAGGUAGGUAUCAGCAGCAGUGGAGUUGCCUUUGAAAAUCGAUUCCUAAACUAUAUAGACAGCAAUAAAAUAACAGGAGCAGAAUGCUACUAUGCCCUGAGAAUUGUGUUCAUUAACCUCAGUGUACCAUUUAAGACUUACCUGCUGCUUAUUUUGGGUUGAACACAACAGUAAGGGAAUGGAAGAUGGCUAGAGAAUAGCCAAGGGAUGAGGUUUGUUCAAGUUGCUGAAAGAAGUCUCGUGGUGUCCCAGCUGGCAGGGAUUUUCCCAAUGGGCUGACAGUCUAGUGGAGCUUGCCUGACUUAAUGACUUUUGCCACAGAAACACGUUUUUGUUGUCAUGGCUAGUAGGGUCCUUGUGCAGCAGCACAUCCUGUGCCCUUCCGUCCUCACCUGGGUGGGGAUUGCUUUUUGUGGAGAACACGGCCACGGAAAGGAGCUGCUGUUUCACAGAGCCAAUGUCUAAACUGCAAGACCUAAAAAAUGCUUCUCUGGCCUAGCUCUGUGCCCUGGAUACAACCUGAUUCCAUAAGAAGCAUUCCCAGGAUCAGGAGGAGCCCCACUGUACUUUGGUCCGGGCUGGUAUUGGUAGAAGAGGUACGUGCUGUUGCUGUGACCUAGCAUGACUCAAGGGCUCUGCUGUUACAGGAAACAAGAUCAGAUAAACUCUUCCUUGAAAUGACUAGGUAUUUUUCACUAGUGGUGGUAAUUGAAUGCUGAUGUUAUUUCAGGAGUAGUGGGAAGUUAGAAAAAAAACAACCAGGAAGAGAAAGUAGUAGGAGUAGAUAAGCUGCCACCCAUGCAAAAAAGGCAUGGCCUUCGUCUUGUUAGUAACAUGUCUUGCUUAGGGACACGUCUUGCCUAGGGACAACAUCUGCUUUGUUGUAUUGACAAAGCUUGAGCCUGCAGUUGCUAAACAAUUAAAAACCACCAUGUUGGGAGGCAUGAGUGGAGAUUUUCAUUGUCAGAAGCAACUUGCAUGGACCAGCCUAACUAGACACCUUUGGGAGAGGACGCUCCUGCAAGACAGCCUUCCUAAACUGGGUCUUCCAAGUUGUUCCCAAGGACAGAAGGGAGCUUCAUGCACAACGGUAUAAUGGAAAUCUCACCCAGAAAGCUGUUUCUAUGGCUCAACCACAAGUGCUCUUUGCUGCUGGAGAAGGCAUCUUGGGUACUCCAAACUAAAUGGUGAUAGCCUGAGAAGAGUGGCCUGGUGGUCAGAUGUGAGAGGGCAUGGCAGCAGAGGCAUCUGAAGUGCCACGUUGCCACACUCUUGGAGCUGAGGAUUUGAAAUUGUGGCAAGAGCGGAACUGCCUGCUGUCACAAGGACUUAAAAUGUGCAAGCCAUGUGAGAGAAAGCUGUGAUUUCUCCAUUAAUCCUUGUGUUUCCUAAUAUGUAGGAACAAGGACGGAAAAGAAUCAGCAGUAAAUAAGAUAAACACAACAAAGGUACCAUAGCAGGAUUGUUCUCUAUGACUGCAAUUUUAUUUAUCGGUUUUCUGGUGCUACCUGUUUGAUAGCAAAAGAACAAAAUGAGGCCUCAUUUGAUGACUGUAAUGGAAAUGAUAGCCCUGCCUCUGAAUAUAGGUGACUUUUUUCAGAUCACCUAGGGAGAUAGUAUUCAAUGUGAAUGCACUACUAAUAAAAUGCUAUGAAGGCAAAUAUUUGAGUGAGAUAUUUUCCUCCUGACAUUCAAUAUGCAUUGGCAUGUCUUCUUUUUUCCACUGUCAGUAGGUAAAUUGACUUAAAAUAAAAUAGCCAUGCUUAUUGCUACUUGGAAUAUUGGGCACCCUCAUUCAUUUUUCCUUUUAUUUUGUAAAAACCAAACAGUAUUUUCUGCUGAGGGGGAAGGGAGAGGGAGGUCAGACGUUCUCGUUUUGUCUGUGACAUUACCUCUAUUUGCCCCAAAUUAAACCUUGUGGAGCUGACAGUCCCAUAAGCACUCGGAACCAGUGGGAUAUUCCUCACCCUGACCUGUCUUAGACCUCCUCUUUUUCCCGUUCACUUUUCUUCCUUAAACAGCGUUUCUUUCACAGUUAAUGUGUAAGAAAAUGAGGGACCAUAAAGAGGACGUGACAGACAACGUGGUAAGCAAUGCCCAAAAUGCAGUGGAAUAAUGAGAAUUGUACGCUUUCAUAGUCUAGUCCACAGCUAGUCCCACAGCACUGCUCAUGGCUUUCUAAGCCACUGUUGUGGACUAGCUUAUACAGACUUUUGAGAAUUUAUAAUCUGUAAAGAUCCAUCUCAGCCUUUUUGGAAAUGGUAGCAUGUUUCAACAUGGAAGACACCGUUAGCACAGUGGACAUUGCACACUGCUGGUUACAGGUCAAUUGCAGAAAGUACAAAAAUCUGAAUUUGAUUUCUGACCUUUUUUUCCUUAUCAUAUUUUCUGUUUUAAAAAAAAUAUUUUGCUCAAAGAAAGAUCCAGGUAAGAAAUUGCGUUAUCCAUGCAAAUUGCAAGAUGAAGGUCAAAAAGAGAAAAAUGUCAUAGUUUUCUCCUCCGCCUAAAGGAGGCAGAAAUUAGAUAGAAAUUGAAAGAAUUGCUAAUAAUGUAAUAGGCUAAAAAUACCAUCAAUGCGGUCAUGAUUUUACAGGAUCAUUAACUGAAGUUUGUAGCUAAAUUUUACCAUUUUAUUUAAUAGUAUUGUCUCGUAACAGUUAUACGCUAUUAGUUCAGGAGACAGCUUAUUGAAAAUAUUUUUAUGACACUGUUACUGCCCUCAAACUGUUCAAUGUGUGGUUUUAACUAUGUGACCUUUGUAUCUUCCAUUACUCUGUGCACUCCGAAAGUUAGGCUGAGUUCAGAGAGGAAGUAUGUGUCCUUUUCUGAGGUUCAUGGUUCAUCUAUUGCUUCAUAUAACUUCAAAGAGACAGUUCUGACAUAAAAAUUACGUUUUCCCACAUCAAAGUGACCCAGUCAAAACUUCCAUCUAAAAUUUUAUCAGGCCUAGAGCCUAACUCAUUAAAAAAAACCAAGAGGGUUUAGAUUACAAAGAGCUAUUUCUGACCAACUAACGGGCAGGCAAAGUUACAAGGAUUUCAAAAUUUCUAACAAGGUCAAGGAAGCGCAGAACAUAACAGGAAUCUAAACAUUUUUACAAUUUUCUCUGCAUGAUGCAACUUACAUAUAUAUAUUAUUAUUUUGGUCCUGUGAUCUUCAAGGUUAAUUGUGAUAACCCUCAAAGUAAAAAAUGCCACAGGAAUCAACAAUGUUAAUGUUCCUCCUAACAUUAUAGGAGGAAACUUUCUGGUUUUAUAGCGCUGAAAAGCCUCAUUUACAGAGACUGGGAACUGUCUUACACAACAAUUUCAUUUUGUUGAUAUAAUCAUGGCUUUGUAUAACCAUUUACAUAAUGACAUUAUAGGUCUGUAAGAGAAACAGGAUUAUAUUAUUCCAUAACUAAGUUACUGAGGUUUUGGUAUUAUACUGAGACUCUGCUUUUACAUAUGAUUUUCAUGAGAAUGCUAUUAAAAGGAAAUGACUUGCCCAUUAUCACACUGCUCUUUUUGAGGUCUUAAGUAGACCUCCAAAGCCUAGGCGUUUUGCUGUCUGCUGGUGGUAGUUGGCAAUUUCACUCCAAAUCACUAUGGGGAACAAACUUCAUUUAAAAGGCGUAGCUUGUCGAUUCUUGUCCCCUGCAUACACGUAUAAGAAG